rnacentral:misc_RNA from 1 species
GAGGAAUCCCACUUGAGCAUGAACAAAAGAGAGUGUCUCCCUUGUCAUUUCACCUUCAUUUUGAAGUUCUUCAACCAGUGAUAUUGCUUCCCUAAAGUUUUUCUUUCGCAAUAAGUCUUUUAUUUGUUCUUCCGAAGGCACCUUCCGAUAACACAUAACCUUUGAAUCUGUUGCCACAAGGACAAGCUUUCCUCUUCCAUCCUCCUCAUCAGCCACAACACAAGGACUACCUACUUCCCCAACAAUUUGAACUCGCUGAACAUAAUUCCCUGAUUUCUUAUGAUACAGCUCCAACUUCCCACUCCUUACCACCACAACGUAUGCCCCUAUCUCCCCCAUGGUCUCUGGAGCUUCGCUGAAAACUAAACUA